CCUUUCUGACCCAAGAGCUGGGUUCUGACCUCCCCGCGCCCCUCUCUCCAGCCCCCCAUUCUCACUGGCUAGACCGCGGCGGGGUGUGCGAGGCUGGAGAACAGUAGGCCCUGUCGAGGCGCCCAGGACGGUGCCAGCCUCGCUCGGCAACUGGCAGCUGGUAUUUUUAAAACAGUAUUUGUCCCUCAGCAAGUCAAGGAGGGCGGGGUAAGAGUAAGGACUCCCUUUUACCGACCGGGGAGCGGAGGCGCGCGGAGGUGAAGUGUCUAGCCCAGACAGGAGGCUGGUCAGAACUCAGAGUCUCGGCUCAGGACUUCCCUGGUGGUCCAGUGUUUAAGAAUCUGCCUUCCAAUGCAGGGAGAAUGAUCGCAACUCUACCCAUGGUGGGUGCAGAUGUCAAAGGAGGCUUCCUGGAGGAGGUGACACACCCGAGCAAGACUUGAAAGAUAAAUGAGCCCACUUUAGAGAUAACAGUGAAAGGACCAAGUGAUUUGCCAAGGUCAAGAAGAACACUGAGGAAAGACCAUUGUGGUGCAUACAGAGGCACCGACAGACACAUCACUUGCCCGUGAGACUGUCUCGUUUUUAUUGAGCUGCUUUUGGGAGGAAGUCCUUACAACCUGCAGUCCUUUCCUACCACAGAGGAGAUUUCUGCUGGCUUCCAAGAGGGUUUGCCAGCCUGCCCUGAGCUGGGGGGCUUUCAAAUAGCUUCAUUUGGCUCACUAGCUGGUUGAGGGGAGGCCUGGAUUUCUGGUCACCCCAGGGAUUGGAAAGCAAAGCUGGGCUCGAGGGCCACUGUGAAAAUGGACCAGGAGCCAGGAAAGACGCGGUUUCUGUGUCCCGUUGCUUCAUCAGCAGGAUGCUAAGUGGAUAGAGAAAAGCCUGGGGUCGGGCGUGGAGCACAGUGCGUCCUGGGUUCAAGCGCUGUAUGACCCUGCACGUUGCAGAGCAGCGGUCGGGAAUGCAGGCUCUGGAGCCAGGCUGCCUGGGUUCACAUCCCAGCUUCCCCACUUAAUAGAUCUGUGGGACUUCCCUGGUGGUUCAGCGGUAAAGAAUCUGCCCCCCAGUGCAGGGACUCAGAUUCUAUCCCUGGUAUGGGAAAAUUCCACAGGCUGCAGAGCAACCAAGCCUUGGAGCCCGAACGCUUCAACAAGAGAAGCCGCAGUAAUGAGAAGCCUUCACACCGAAACUGGAGAGGAGCUCCAGCUCGCCACAACUAGGGAAGAGCCGGUAUGCAGCAAUGAAGACAGCACAGCCAAACAUAAAUGAAUAAGAUAAAAUAAAUAGAUCUUGGCCUCGGCUUCACCUCUCUGAGCCUGUUUUCUUAUCAGUAAAAUGGGGGAACAGUAGUUCCCACCCAAAGAUUUUUGGAAGCCUUAUAUGAAUGAAUCAUGUGAUGUACUUAGGAAAAUGCCCAGCAAUAUAGUAAGUGCUCAAUAAAUGCAGUCUA